rnacentral:rRNA from 1 species
GAUGAACGCUGGCGGCGUGCCUAAUACAUGCAAGUCGAGCGAACAGACGAGGAGCUUGCUCCUCUGACGUUAGCGGCGGACGGGUGAGUAACACGUGGAUAACCUACCUAUAAGACUGGGAUAACUUCGGGAAACCGGAGCUAAUACCGGAUAAUAUAUUGAACCGCAUGGUUCAAUAGUGAAAGACGGUUUUGCUGUCACUUAUAGAUGGAUCCGCGCCGCAUUAGCUAGUUGGUAAGGUAACGGCUUACCAAGGCGACGAUGCGUAGCCGACCUGAGAGGGUGAUCGGCCACACUGGAACCGAGACACGGUCCAGACUCCUACGGGAGGCAGCAGUAGGGAAUCUUCCGCAAUAGGCGAAAGCCUGACGGAGCAACGCCGCGUGAGUGAUGAAGGUCUUCGGAUCGUAAAACUCUGUUAUUAGGGAAGAACAAAUGUGUAAGUAACUAUGCACGUCUUGACGGUACCUAAUCAGAAAGCCACGGCUAACUACGUGC